rnacentral:rRNA from 1 species
AGUGAACGCUGGCGGUAGGCCUAACACAUGCAAGUCGAACGGCAGCACAGUAAGAGCUUGCUCUUACGGGUGGCGAGUGGCGGACGGGUGAGGAAUACAUCGGCAUCUACUUUUUCGUGGGAGAUAACGUAGGGAAACUUACGCUAAUACCGCAUACGACCUACGGGUGAAAGCAGGGGAUCUUCGGACCUUGCGCGAUUGAAUGAGCCGAUGUCGGAUUAGCUAGUUGGCGGGGUAAAGGCCCACCAAGGCGACGAUGCGUAGCCGGUCUGAGAGGAUGAUCAGCCACACUGGAACUGAGACACGGUCCAGACUCCUACGGGAGGCAGCAGUGGGGAAUAUUGGACAAUGGGCGAAAGCCUGACCCAGCAACACCGCGUGGGUGAAGAAGGUCUUCGGAUUGUAAAGCCCUGUUAUUAGGAAAGAAAAAAAGCAGGAGAAUCCCUCGCUGUUCUGACGGUACCCAAAGAGUAAGCACCGGCUAACUUCGUG